UACGGAGGGUGCAAGCGUUAUCCGGAUUUACUGGGUUUAAAGGGUGCGUAGGUGGGCAGGUAAGUCAGCGGUGAAAUCUCCGAGCUUAACUCGGAAACUGCCAUUGAUACUAUCUGUCUUGAAUUAUCUGGAGGUGAGCGGAAUAUGUCAUGUAGCGGUGAAAUGCUUAGAUAUGACAUAGAACACCAAUUGCGAAGGCAGCUCACUACGGAUACAUUGACACUGAGGCACGAAAGCGUGGGGGAUCAAACAGG
rnacentral:rRNA from 1 species